CAGUGUUGGUGUUGAUGCUGACUUGUCAACAACGCCAUCAUUCUCACUUGUAAUGGAGUCAUCUGUUACACAUCUGAACUAAUAUGGACGGAGGUGCAUAGAGGGCGUCCGUGCCACUUACAACAGUUCAUUCAUCUAUUGACUGCGACGAAUAAUGGUUGCACUUCCCACAUUGCAUCCACAAAGAUACUGCAAAUCUGACUUCUGGUUGUCGUGACUGAAGCAUAAUGAUAACGCUUCAAGAAAAGGCUCAGUGUGUGGAAUGGUUCACUUAGAUCAAAUCGGAAGAAUAGAGUCAAAGGGAACUUCCAGGCACGGUAUCGGAAACACCCACCCUCGCAGACGUCGGUACGCAGGUGGUACAGACGUUUUAUGCACACAGCAAGCGUUGAUUUGAAGCAUAGUGGACGACGUGGAACAAGUGAACCCGAAACAGGAUGGAUACGGUAGGCAUUUCAACGUUCUCCACGGAAGUCUGUUCAGAGUUCAUCGCAGCAGCUGCAAAUCCCUGGAGCGACAGUGCAUCGGGUCCUUCGGCAACGUGUGCGUGUGUAUCCAUGCCGGCUGCAGUUGUUAUAAGUAUUGACACCAGAUUACGAGCCACAACGUAUGCAGUUCGUCGUGGACGUUCUUUACAGUUUAGAGAAGGAUGGAUAUUUUCUAAACAACCUAGAAUUUUCUGACGAAGAAACAUUUCACUUGUGUGGUACGGUAAACAAACACAAUGUUUGCGUUUGGGGCACAAUCAAUCCUCCGCAUACUGUGACGGAUGAAGUACGUUGCCGCCCGAAAGUGAAUGUGUUGUUUGAAGGUUAAUCGCAUUGUGGGACGU